UACGUAGGGGGCAAGCGUUGUCCGGAAUCAUUGGGCGUAAAGAGCGUGUAGGCGGCUCGGUAAGUCCGCUGUAAAAGUCAAAGGCUCAACCUUUGAAUGUCAGUGGAUACUGCCGGGCUAGAGUCCGGAAGAGGCGAGUGGAACUCCUGGUGUAGCGGUGGAAUGCGCAGAUAUCCGGAGGAAGACCGGUGGCGAAGGCGGCCUGCUGGGCAGUUACUGACACUGAUGCGCGACAGCGUGGGGAGCAAACAGG
rnacentral:rRNA from 1 species